CACACCUAUAGGAUGGAAGACACACCUGUCGGCAGAAACUGCAACAGAAAAGAUAAGGGAGAAAAGAAACAGCCUGCCUAGGAACAACGAUGAGAUCCAAUAAGGAGCAGGAGACCCCAGACUCAAAAAUUACUAUUGGUCUGAACUACCACGUGGGGGGGUGGGAAACUUAAUUUGAAAAAGCUAUAAUUGCCCAGGGAUCUCUUUGUUCAGGGUCCCUCUUUGGAGGUACCCAACUCGAGCUGUAACCACUGCACGCAUGUCAUUCCGAGCUAACCUAGGGUCGGACCCAACUCGAGUUGUAAUUACUGCACGCGCACCACCAAAACUUACACCCAGGGUGAAGAGGAGCCACCUACCACCAGACGGGAGCCCCCCCACUGCCAAGACUCCCAAAGGAAGAGGACCAACAGGACGCCGCUGGAUCCACGGGUUUUCAACUGUUCCUUGUUCCUGGCAGUCAAGUCCUGGCUAAAGUGCUAACUAUGCAGUUACAGAAGAUCUGAAUGGAGAACCUGAUCUCAGCUGGUUUCUUUAAACUAGAAUUCCUCAGGAGGCACCAAAUGUAUCAUAUUAGUCACCAUAAUAAAAAUGAAAAAAUCUGGCAGCACCAUAAUUCUCCCAGGUGCCUUGGGGAGCAGAAGAUCAGAAUGCAGGAGAGAGUCCAAAACACAUCGUUUUAUUUUUAAGACCCUGAGAAGUUUAAGCCAGUAUCUUUUUUAUUAUUAAUAUUUUGGCCUCAGACUUUUUUAACCUUUCUGAAUAAGCCAUGGAGAGAAAGAAAAGUUCUUGCUUGACCCCAGCCUUCUCCUGCUCCACAGGCACUCAAACAGCACAGGAAAGGGACUGAGAAGGCCCUGCCAUUGCAGUUCCUGAGCCAGCUGCAAGCCAGAGCCACAGCUGCAGCUUCCUGUCUGCCCGGCAGGUUGCUGGAGGAACAUCUCGAGGUGGAUGGCUCCCACCCAUGGUUUCUGCAGACCACAGAUCUCAGCAGCUAUGCGACUGACUCCUGGAGACAACCUAGCUACUCACAAAGCACAGCCUCUGUAACAGCCUCAGACUCUUUCCCUUUCUUACUGCUCAAGCCUGCAAGGGAAAACAAUGUAUAAAUAACAUAUGAAACUCUGGAGACUGAAAACUAGGAGGUGAUCUCCUCCAAACCUCUUUUAUAAUUAUGAUUUUGGCUGCUUGGGAACCACUUAUUUAGCAUUGCACUGCUGCUUUUAUUGCUAGCACGGACAACUGAUGUAUUUGCAUUCCACAUCUCAAUCACGUUAAACUGUAUGUGUCUCAAUCACAAAAAACUAUAUGUAAGAGAACAACGUAUGGUUCUCAACAGUGAGCAAUCCAUGUGGGAACCUCUCAACAGUGAGCAAUCCAUUUGGGAACCUCUUUGUAAAUGCUUGCUUCAGAAAUAGGGUAUUUUGUGAUAUUCAGCUGCUACUGUUAGGUUAAAUAAAUUAGAACUACUUGUAACCAACAAACUCACCUUACAGUGAUGUGCGUCCAAAUGUUUGCUAUCAAAGUGCUUGAGAUAGGAUGUUAGGAGACUUUAAAAAAUUAUUGUUUUUAGUUAAAAAUAGCAAUGGAAAACACACUGCUCAUUUAUAAUAGGAUAUACUGUAACAGAUAGCUUUCAGCAGGAUAAGAGCAUAGCAAACAAAGAGCAGCAGCAGAGGCAAGUAAAAAGGAAAAGAACCUUGAAACUCUACUGAUUAAGAUGCUAAAGUAGUUUCCAGUGUUUAUUACAAAAAAGUUAAUUAAAGAGUUUACAUUUUAUCAUGCACAGUAAAGAACUCCUGACAGGCAUUAUUAUAAUAUGAAAUGCUUCAGUCUCCAGUAGAGUUUAAUUUAGAGCAACAACAAAGAAUGGAAAAAGAAGAAAUAAAAAAAUGAAAUGUUGCAAGCAGACUGGCUUAAGCUCAGGGGAGGCCUUUCAGAGAACUGUUUGGUAGAAACAAUGCAAACUGAGCUACUACCCUGGGAAUAAUAUUUUUCCUGAAAUUGUUUCGGGUUGAAGUGUUUAUAGGAGGCAGUACAUAGGUUGUGUAAACCUCUGGCUAAAAGAUUGGAGAAGUAGAGCUUUUCAUCAAAGGCUAAUCACACUGAUUAUGCAAGAAGAUCCACAGAUGUUAGUGUAAACCAUUCACCAGAGAAUUAGUGAUUCCUGCAUCAUUACUGAUCAGAUCAACAGAUGUCCAUGCUGUCACCAGUUGCUAACAUUAACUUGCUAAUAAAUAGCAUCAUGUUUACUACACAUAUUUAACCAAGAAAAAAUUUGACAUCUUUUGUGAAUGCAUUAAUUUCUUCCAAACAUAUUUUUGGCCUGAGAAUGCCCUGGAAACUGUAUUGAUUUCAUUCUUGCCCAGUCACUUGGCAAUGAAUAAUGACAGAUUAUGCAUAUCAGUUCUUUUAAAUCUGUCAACCAUUGUUUAUUUACUUUAACAACAAUGUUUUGCUGGCAGCUCUGUAGACUUCUGUUUGUGGAGAUGAUACUAGUUUUGGCUAGUGCUUUCUUCUGCAGGAUAUUUGAGAGGAUGACUUUUGUUUGUCAUUAGCAGGCCCUGGGAUCUUCAUAUUUUAUUUCUCCAGCAGUCAGAUGUAUAAACUGUUACAGAGGACAAAGAAUUGAAAGGAGCUAUAGGACACAGAAUGCACAAAAGACAUACUGCUCCAUCUAAUUUGCUGUCAUUGAUAUGGCUGCAUGAUUUGUUUUCCUGACGUUUGACUUGAUGCCAGAAUUAGAAGAGACUGAUGCGACAGAGAACCAAUUCAGAUAAGGUAGCAGCAUGAGGAAGGACCACAGACACCUAAUAGCAACGUUUCUUGCCACAUCGGUUGAAUAGGGAUUUCCCAUUCUUUGUUCAGCAUAUAAUUUGGAGAGUUCAGGGGCACUGGACUCCUGCUGGAAUCUCCUGUAGCCCAGGUAGUCCAAAGAUAUGUGGUCAUAGCUAUAGGAUAUAUGGCCACAGGUAUAUCAUUUCGUCAUAUCAUUUAUUGUUUCUUUUGGAUUUUACAUUUUGAAUUAAUAGAAAUGAAUCAUUUUGAUAACACCACAAGAAAGCUUUCACACUCUAGUACUCAUUGGAUUUACAAAAAAGUUUGCUUAUUUAAAUGGGAAUGAAAAUACCAUCAUUUUUACAAGGUAGAUUUUCUUCUGUCUCUGAAGCUGCUUGCUUCAUGUGUCAUGAUUAAGAAGAAAUUUGUUUUCAGAAAUAUUUUCAGUGAUCUUUGCCAACAAAAGCUUUCUAUCCCCUUUUCUGAAGUGCAACAUACUGAACUGGAUGGACCAUUUGUCUACAGCGGAAUACAAGAAUCAGAGUGAAUCUUGUACGUUGUAGAUCGAAUUAUCAAAAUGUACACUAAGACUGCUCGGAACAGCUGGGCUGUCAUGUGGCUGUCACAGGAAAUACCAUACUGUACCAGAUCUCUGGAAAUUGCUUUUUGGUUUUCCAGACACAAUUCACAGUUUGGGUUUUUCAUCUAUAAAGUCGCCAGGUCAUCUUAUAGACCAUCUUCUUCUUUCCCUGCCUUCCUGAUAUACUGUAGCACCACUGGGACACUUAUGCUGAUAGAGCCUCUGUUGAAAUAUCUAUUGAAUGUAGAACAAAACUUUUAAUAAAAUGAAUUUGAUCCAUUGAAGCUCAAGGCAGUACACAUUCACAGCAUGGUGCAAGGCCACUUUGUGCCCUCAGUGUCUUAAAUGAAUUACAUUUGAGAUUCUCAAAUCUUUUGAGAUUCUUAUCAAAAAUCUUCUUUUUUUUUUUUUUGAAAACUAAAUGCUCUCCUUAGAGCAAACACAUUUAUAUUGUCCACUAUGCACCAGCAAUACCAUCAGCAAUGAUAUAUGACAUUGUACAUAAGCAACGCCAGAGCUGAAUUGCUCCACUGUCUUUUUUUCCCACAGUCAGUUUUCAUACUCCCUUUUUAUUAUGGAAUGCCAGCUCUGGUGUGCUACUUAGAGCCCAAGCCCAAACCCAUUAGAAUCAGCAGAAAGAAUUGCAGUUCAUUACAAGAUACUCUUGACAAAGGUGUAAUCAUUUCUCUUGAAAGUUUGCCUUCUGCUUGGUGACUGAAGUACAUAAAUAACAAUUUUUUAUUGAUUUAUUACUGUAUUAUCCUAAGCUUACAUAUGAGGAAAGUUAUUAAUGAAGGUCAUUCCUUGCUUUUUGUAUUGUUGUUGCAAAGAGUCAGCAGGUUAACAGCAAAGGAGCUUUAUAACCUAUAAUAUACACUACACUGGCUGUGGAGGAUGGAAGGAGACAUUGCCUGGGAUAUAGCAUAUGGAUUUGUAUGCUGAUGUUAAAUAUCCACAGGUACACACUACUUAGCAGCAGAGAACAGUGGCAGUUGUUGGUGCUAGACCAUAGCUGGGAAUGACAGUAUUUUGUCUCCAGCAAAGGCUAUGACUAGAGGGGUAUCUGCUUGGCAACUUUUGAGAAGGCUUCUUGUUGAUUUUAGUGUGUUUUUUUUUUUCUAAUUUAUAAUACUGGAUUACAAUUAUAAAAUAAUAAUAAUAAUCAAGUCUACUGUAGCUUUUUAACUGAUUUCUGCAAUAGAUCCAAACAAUUUGUUUUCAGCUUUUGCUACAUCGGCAAUAAAAACAUAACUAUUACCAACUGCAAAGAGGA